rnacentral:rRNA from 1 species
ACGGAGGAUCCAAGCGUUAUCCGGAAUUACUGGGCGUAAAGAGUUGCGUAGGUGGCAAGUUAAGUUUCUGUUCAAAUCCCAAGGCUCAACCUUGGACAGGGCAGGAAAACUGGCUAGCUAGAGCAUAGUAGAGGUAGCUGGAACUGCUGGUGUAGGAGUGAAAUCCGUAGAUAUCAGUAGGAACACCGAUGGCGUAGGCAGGCUACUGGGCUAUUGCUGACACUAAGGCACGAAAGCGUGGGGAGCGAACGGG